AUGCAGGAUAGUUCCAGAGUCAUAUGCUUACCACUGCUCUACACAGAGGGAAGAAUAACAUCUUCGAAAAGCCUGGGCAAAGGCAGAGAGGUGGGCUUGAAUGUGACCUGUCUGGAUCAGCCCGACAUCACUGGAGAUUCAUGGUGGGGAAAAGGGAGACAGCCUGGGGGUGGAUCGAUUACUGAAGGGCUUUGGAUACCAAUUCACAUAAGUUGGAUUUGAUAAAGGAGGAAAGCUAGUGAAAGUCAAUGGAAGUGUAAGGAAGUAGGGGUACUCAAAGACGCCUCACCGGCAGGUUCCUCCCACUCCUGGGUCGGCUGGGGCUGGGGCCGGAGCGUGGGAUGCAACUGUUGAACUCCUUGCAUUUUUGGGUGGCCUCCACCCUCCAGGCUUUAUCCUUUAGUCCACUUUAUCCACUUUAGUCCGCUUUAUCCUCUAGUCCACUAGGCAGGAAAAGGAACACAGAGUACUAGAAUUCCCAACUUUGCCUGUCAGCUAAGCUGGAUGGUCUGGAGUAGAGAGGUAAGAACUGUAGAAUGCACUUGUGCAUUCAUAAAGGAAAUAUUUGAUUGCUUAUAAUUUACCCAGUGUUGUAGUAGGAGCCAAACACAAAGCAGUGAACUAAGUAGACACUGUCUUCCAAAACCAGUCUCAUUGGAUCCCUCAGAGGUACAGGUUACCCCUGCUAUCUGAAAAUUCACUUUACAGCACUUCACUUUUACAAAAGACCUUUUGCUAACCAAAAGAAAUCCGAAGAAAAUUUUCACUUCUAUGAAAAAAAGGCAAAAAGUGAAAAUAGUGUUCAGUGUUUCUUUUACAGCGAGCCAUUACAGUGGCUAAGCAGUCAAACAUAUGGUCGCAACUCAAGCCUGAAAGAUCAGGCACAGCGGACUACUAACCUUGCCCUUCGACUGGAGGCAAGCAGAUGUAGAAGGUGCAGAUGUUGGUGACCUGCCUGGACUGAUGGAUUCAGACAGUGACGGGAUGUUAACAGAUAACCCUCUUCCUCUCUCCUACACCCUGGUCUCCUGUACCUCCCACCACUUCAACCUCUGACGGCUCAGCCUAACACACCACCAUCACCACCACCACCUCUCAGCCUUCCAGUGUGCUCACACUCUUCCCGAUUCUGGAUUCCUAACCACUUACCACAGACUGGAUCAGAUAUGCUCACAACCCAGAGAAGCAGGGCAAAGCCUACACAUUGUCAUCCUCGUCACACACCUCUUGUGGAUUCUCAGCCUAAGCUGGUGGAUGCAUGGUCACAGCCAAAACAAGAGCUGGGCCCGUCAAGCCUACUUAGCUCACUUUCCUUUCCUCUUGCCACCUCUUCUAUGCCUCUCCUGUGAGGGGACCGGCUUACCAGUCAUUUUAGGAACUGCCCAGGACUUCUGGGAUCCUGGACUCGAGUGUACCCAUAUCAUCGCUCACUUUCUCACAUGUGAAUGCUCGCUUUUACCAUUAUCAAUUCCAGACUCCGUGCAGUCCUGCUGCUCAUCCUUGGCUUGACUUCAGGGUAGAGACAAAGAGAAGGACUGAGCGUUCUUUACCUGCGGAGAACACAGGACUCUAGCAACUACCCUCACAGUUCCCUGUGGUAGGGCAGUUAGCCUGAAAGAUUUUGAACUUGGUGCCGCCCUGCUCUGGCAUCUGGAGGAAGCUGUGCUCCCGAAGCUGCUCAGGCAUUCCCCAUACACUUGGACAUUCUAGUGGCACCUCGGGAGUCUUGCAUAAAUUUUGGAUUUACUGAGAAUGGGAAGUAAAGUCUGGGUUUCCUGGCAGCCACACCACAUACCUGCUAUAAUGGGUUAAGUGACUUGCAUAGUGACUAAAGUUAAGGAGUUGGAUUUUGAACGUGGGUCAAGUCAAUUCCAAAGCCUUUAAUUCCUUCAGUCUGUCGUUCUCAACACUCUUUCUGACUAACGAUUUCUGUGAAACCUUGGAAUACAGACCUUAUACUGCAUGUGACUACCAUCAGGGUAGUCUCAUGGCAGGGGCCGCAGGUCCUGCGUCUUCAGGAGGACCCAGGUACAGCUUAGGCUUCAUGUCACACUCAUAACUAGCAACUAUCUCAAAGGCAUGCUGUUGUACCUGGCACUAGAUUAAAACCUAGUUAUUACAUAAUAUAGAUUAGACAUGCCCCCUAAGAAGCUUUUACGGCCUAAAGAUAGAAAAGGCAAAAAGAGACCCAUUACAAAGAAAGAAAGGAGACUCGUCAGAGAUCUCAUUUGUUAUAGAGGAUGGUCACACAGUCCGCCUUACCAUCGAGGCGUUAUCCAUCAGAGGCCAUCAGUGAUGAGCCAUCAAAGCACUGUCCUUUGGAAUCUCCAGUUGGAUUUUUGUUACAAAUCAAGACUUCACACCCAGAUACAGGACACAGUGGGAGUAAGCUGGCAUGUCAGAUGUAGAAUUAGUGUACUCUCUGCUGCUCCUGGGUUUGGCCAAGCACAUAGUGGGGCCUCAUCCAUUCAUCCAGACUCUCCCUUCCCCUCUCAGUUUGGCUAUUUAGGCUGUGCCAGAUAACUGGCCAUGGAUCAUUCCAUCUGUAUUUUCAUUUUCCUCAAUGGUCAAGCCACCUGACAUGUCUAAAUGGGAUCUUCUCUCUGGAGAUUUUCACCUCUCUGGUAGUAUCUUCUGAUUCAGGAUCACCCUGUCCAGGCUGGAUUAGCUCACACAUACUCAUUCAGAAAACUUCCUUAUCAGUCUAAGAUCAGGCUCUCUUCCUUUGGUGGCAGUAGGUCACCAUGAAUGCCCCAAAUAUAGACCAGCUUCAUACAUGACCCUUGUAAGAGCUACCAUGGAAUGAGCCUUUCUGAAGGGAGGACCAGAGGAAUACAUAGCCUACCUUUGGAAGUGAGCUGUCUCAGCCUGACAUCGGCAUCCCAGUUCUGGUCAUGACAGAACUAUAAGGUCAUGUCCACGAUGUCAUGGGCACUGACAAACUCUCAACCCUGGAUUCUUCAUGCCUCUUCCUUUUCUAGCCUGAGACUCUCUAUCUCACCAUUUUCUUUAAAUAGCAGGGUUCCUCUUUAAGGGCUCAUGGCAUGAGUGGUCUGAGCAGGUGUUCUGGCUUUUCUCUUGGGAAAGCCCCAGAAGAUAAGCUUCAAGGGCUCCAAUAAAGCUUGGCAACUCUCCACAUAACCUCAGGGUUGCUGGCUUUUCUGGGAGCACACAUACCAUCACCAGGAAAUAAAAUCCCACCACUGACACCCUACCUCCCCUACUCCACCCCAGAUCAUCCUAUGGGCCAAGGGAAGAAAGGUACAGGAAUAGAGAUUCCCAGGAAGCCAGACCUAACAACUGGAAUGAGGAGGGUGGUAUGUGCUGCUGGGCAGAGUAGAAGAGAGUCAGGAUCCCACUGCCACACCUGACAGUGGCAGAGAGCACGGC
ensembl:lncRNA